UACAGAGGUCUCAAGCGUUGUUCGGAUUCAUUGGGCGUAAAGGGUGCGUAGGCGGCGCGGUAAGUCGGGUGUGAAAUCUCGGGGCUUAACUCCGAAACUGCAUUCGAUACUGCGGUGCUUGAGGACUGGAGAGGAGACUGGAAUUUACGGUGUAGCAGUGAAAUGCGUAGAGAUCGUAAGGAAGACCAGUGGCGAAGGCGGGUCUCUGGACAGUUCCUGACACUGAGGCACGAAGGCCAGGGGAGCAAACGGG
rnacentral:rRNA from 1 species